CCUACGGGAGGCAGCAGUGAGGAAUAUUGGUCAAUGGACGAGAGUCUGAACCAGCCCAGUAGCGUGAAGGAUGACUGCCCUAUGGGUUGUAAACUUCUUUUAUAUGGGAAUAAAACGUUCCACGUGUGGGAUUUUGUAUGUACCAUAUGAAUAAGGAUCGGCUAACUCCGUGCCAGCAGCCGCGGUAAUACGGAGGAUCCGAGCGUUAUCCGGAUUUAUUGGGUUUAAAGGGAGCGUAGGUGGAUUGUUAAGUCAGUUGUGAAAGUUUGCGGCUCAACCGUAAAAUUGCAGUUGAAACUGGCAGUCUUGAGUACAGUAGAGGUGGGCGGAAUUCGUGGUGUAGCGGUGAAAUGCUUAGAUAUCACGAAGAACUCCGAUUGCGAAGGCAGUUCACUGGACUGCAACUGACACUGAGGCUCGAAAGUGUGGGUAUCAAACAGGAUUAGAUACCCCUGUAGUC
rnacentral:rRNA from 1 species